UGAGCGACCUGCCGAUCUGCGGGGGAUAGCCGGCCAACGGCCGGGUAAUACCGCAUACGCUCCCCUCCGGGCAUCCGGGGGGCGAGGAAACCUCCGGGGCGGAUCGAGGGCUCGCGGCCUAUCAGCUAGUUGGGGGGUAACGCCUCCCAAGGCGGCGACGGGUAGCUGGUCUGAGAGGAUGGGCAGCCACAUUGGGACUGAGACACGGCCCAGACUACUACGGGAGGCAGCAGUGGGAAUAUUG
rnacentral:rRNA from 1 species